UACAGAGGUCCCGAGCGUUGUUCGGAUUCAUUGGGCGUAAAGGGUGCGUAGGUGGCAUAGAAAGUUUGAUGUGAAAGCUCAGGGCUUAACCCUGAAAUGGCAUUGAAUACUGCUGUGCUGGAGGUUUGGAGGGGGGACUGGAAUUCUUGGUGUAGCAGUGAAAUGCGUAGAUAUCAAGAGGAACACCAGUGGCGAAGGCGAGUCCCUGGACAACACCUGACACUGAGGCACGAAAGCUAGGGGAGCAAACAGG
rnacentral:rRNA from 1 species